UGAAUUAGACAUGCAAACAUUUGGGAAAAUGUUCAUGAAGAAAAAGCAAAGAACAGGGAAGAGUGUGUCUCAGGUCAUGUUGAGAGUCCAGUACUUUUGGGAAGGGAGAAGGAAAGGGAGCUGAGCAGGAAAAGUCACAGAACGGAGCAAUUCUAAGCUGGAUUCUGCCAGAACCGUGGGGAGUGUUUGUGGAAGUCCUUGGUCUCCAGCAAUGGGCCUGAUUACUGGAUUCGCUGGGCUCUUGUAGGAGUCUGGAGCAGUCCCCAGGUGAGGAAAUCUUAUUUUUAGUUCUUGUCUUACACACUUAAAAAUGAGGCUUGAAGAGAUUAAAUAAAACCUUAAAAGGCAGGUAGAGAGUUGAAGUUUCUGAAGGAAGACAAGGGAGCAGGACCAAGACCACUCCAGGGAGGCCUUCUGAGCUUGUUGUACAUUUCCCAUCCACUCCUCAGACUGUUUUUCCCAGACAACAAAAAGUAUCAUCUGAAAUGUUACCAGAUUUUAAUGAGACUUCUGGUGCUGAAAGAAAACAAAACUUAAGUGAAGAUCAAGAGGAGAAACAGAAACCAAGAGUGAAUGAAGGGUUUAAACCAGUAUCUCAAGGACGAAUGAAGAAGUUAAGGAAACAGAAACAAAGGGAAGAACAAAGAGAACUCCGCAAACAAAAGUGGAAAGAAAAAUGCAAGGGAAAGAAAUUAGAAUGACAAUGUCAACUGGAAUCAAACCCAGAUGGAAAUGACAGAAAACGUGUUCAAAGACAAGUCAUCCAGAGCACACUCUGCCUUGUCAUUGACUGCCAUUUUGAUGAUUUGAUGGUCUUACAGGAUAUUAAGAAACUUCAUAGGCAGAUUCAGCGAUCUUAUGCAGAAAACCAAAGAGCAUUGCACCCCAGCAGAUUUUCUUGACAAGCCAUGGAGGCCAGCUGAAAAGGAACAUGGAUGACAAUGACAAAGGAUGGGUCAACUGGAAGGAUAUCCACAUCAAACCAGAGCUCUGUAGUGAACUCAUAAAAAAAGAAGACCUUGUGUAUCUUACAUCAGAUUCCCCUAACACACUGCAGGAAUUAGAUGAGUCAAGGGCCUAUGUGAUUGGAGGAUUGGCAGACCACAACCAUCACAAGGGAUUCACGUAGAAACAAGAUCGGAUUAUGGGAUUGAUCAUGCUCAGCUCCCCCACAGAAAUUCUGUGAAGAUGAACAGUCGGAAAGGUCUGACAGUUGAUCAUGUAUUUGAGAUUAUCCUGGAAUACCUGCAAACAAGAGACUGGCAAGAAGCAUUUUUUUACUAUCUUACCCCAGCGGAAAGGAGCUGUCUCCACAGACAAAGCCUGUGACAGUUCCUCCCAGGACCAGCAGGGUGCUGGGGCUGAAGGUGGACUGGACAGUGAGGCGGAAUGCUGCAGGAAUCAACCGGAUUCCCCACAUCCAGAGGACGCGCAGGAUGAGGAAAGCCACUGAGUCCACGGUCUUGUUGUGGAGUUUAGGCCAGACUUAAACUCACUAUGGAGCCUAGGCUGGCCUUGAACUCAUGGAGAUCUUCCUGCUUCAGUCUCCC
ensembl:lncRNA